GGAGUCGGUGAGGUUAGAGCGGCUCGGCGACUCCGAUUCCGGUGAUCGAAUCAUAAAUGCCCCUGUUCUUGGAUCUUGUUUGGCGAUCUUUCACUAAUAGUUUCUGGGAACCGGGGCAGGGAUCGUGGAGCUGAAGCUGGGCCGGCCGGAGGCGAAGAACUCGAUCGGGAAGGAGAUGCUGCGAUGACUGCGGUUCGGUUCCCAGGGUUUUCUUCGCCGGGACGGAUCUCAAGGCACUCUCUGUUCCAACAAUUGCGGUCAUUGAAGGAGCAGCACCUGGUGGUGGCCUAGAAUUGGCUCUUUCAUGUGAUCUUCGUGUGUGUGUGUGUGUGGAGAAGAUUCAACAUUUAGCUUGCUAGAGACUGGACUUGCCAUAAUUCCUGGGUAUGUGUUCAAGCUGGUCAUUGGGCAUAUCAUGCUUUCCGCUGAAUUUUCGACACAAACAGAGCUGGUGGCACCCGAUGACGACGAUCAGCAGCAAAGGAGCUAAUAUUCACGGGUCGAAGGAUUAACGGCAAAGAAGCUCUGUCCAUGGGACUUAUCAAUCACUGUGUUCCUUCUGGAGAUGCGUACCACAAGGCUCUUCGUGUUGCCUGCGUACCACAAUUCUUACGAACAGCCAAGAGGAUUAAACUAAUGCUUCAACGAAGUAUCAUGACAAGAAGAAUUUUUACACAAUUACCUUCCCCAUUCAGUACUCUUUUUUUAUCUUUGGAUGGAUUCUAACCAGGGCCUAUCUUUGAAAGGGUCCUUUGGCUACAAGGAUGGCUUAGCAAGCUAUCAACAACGGCAUGGAAGGAGGAGCUACGUCCUCGGCAGUGGGUGGGGAAGAAGAAUGUUAUGGGCGACUACUGAACACAGCAGACCGUCUUGAAGGACUGGCUGCAUUCACAGAGGAGAAGCGAAAACCCAAAUACCUUGGCAAAUAGAAUCACACAAUCUAGUUCUUGUUCGGCUGCUUGUUGUAACUUAAAUCAGCAUAAAGAUACAAAGGUGUUCGAACCAUAUAAUUUUUAUUCUUUUUAUAAGUAUCAUUUGGACAUAACAGAGUCUUACGUUAACUGGUAAUUGAGACCAUGGAAGAAA